rnacentral:rRNA from 1 species
AUACGGAGGGUGCAAGCGUUAUUCGGAAUCACUGGGCGUAAAGGACGCGUAGGCGGGUCGGCAAGUCAGAUGUGAAAUCCUACAGCUUAACUGUAGAACUGCAUUUGAAACUGCUAACCUAGAGUAUGGGAGGGGGAGAUGGAAUUAGUGGUGUAGGGGUAAAAUCCGUAGAUAUCACUAGGAAUACCGAAGGCGAAGGCGAUCUCCUGGAACAUAACUGACGCUAAGGCGUGAAAGCGUGGGGAGCAAACAGGAUUAGAAACCCCAGUAGUCC